GACGAACGCUGGCGGCGUGCUUAACACAUGCAAGUCGAACGGAAAGGCCCUGCUUUUGUGGGGUGCUCGAGUGGCGAACGGGUGAGUAACACGUGAGUAACCUGCCCUUGACUUCGGGAUAACUUCAGGAAACUGGGGCUAAUACCGGAUAGGAGCUCCUGCUGCAUGGUGGGGGUUGGAAAGCUUCGGCGGUUGGGGAUGGACUCGCGGCUUAUCAGCUUGUUGGUGGGGUAGUGGCUUACCAAGGCUUUGACGGGUAGCCGGCCUGAGAGGGUGACCGGCCACAUUGGGACUGCGAUACGGCCCAGACUCCUACGGGAGGCAGCAGUGGGGAAUAUUGCACAAUGGGCGGAAGCCUGAUGCAGCAACGCCGCGUGCGGGAUGACGGCCUUCGGGUUGUAAACCGCUUUCGCCUGUGACGAAGCGUGAGUGACGGUAAUGGGUAAAGAAGCACCGGCUAACUACGUG
rnacentral:rRNA from 1 species